UACAGAGGUCCCAAGCGUUGUUCGGAUUCACUGGGCGUAAAGGGUGCGUAGGCGGUCGGGCAAGUCUGAUGUGAAAUCUCACAGCUUAACUGUGAAACUGCAUUGGAUACUAUCCGGCUCGAGGAAUGGAGGGGAGACUGGAAUUCCUGGUGUAGCGGUGAAAUGCGCAGAUAUCAGGAGGAACACCGGUGGCGAAGGCGGUUCUCUGGGCAUUUCCUGACGCUGAGGAGCGAAAGUGUGGGGAGCGAACAGG
rnacentral:rRNA from 1 species